UGAUCCUGCCAGUAGUCAUAUGCUUGUCUCAAAGAUUAAGCCAUGCAUGUCUAAGUGUAAGCUUUUAAAUGGCGAAACUGCGAAUGGCUCAUUAAAACAGUUAUAGUUUACUUGAUGGUUUUUCUAUAUGGAUAACUGUAGUAAUUCUAGAGCUAAUACAUGCAUACAUGCCUGACUUUACGGAAAGGCAGCGUUUAUUAGAUACAAAACCAUCCCGUGCAAACGGUAUUUGGUGAGUCAUAAUAAGAUAGUGGAUCGGCGUAUUCGUCGACACAUCAUCCAAGUUUCUGACCUAUCAGCUUCCGACGGUAGGGUAUUGGCCUACCGUGGCAUUGACGGGUAACGGAGAAUUAGGGUUCGAUUCCGGAGAGGGAGCCUGAGAAACGGCUACCACAUCUAAGGAAGGCAGCAGGCGCGCAAAUUACCCAAUCCUGACAUAGGGAGGUAGUGACAAGAAAUAACAAUAUAGGGCGAUAUCGCCUUGUAAUUGGAAUGAGUGGAAUUUAAAUCUAUCCACGAGUAUCAAUUGGAGGGCAAGUC
rnacentral:rRNA from 1 species